rnacentral:lncRNA from 1 species
CAGCAACAGCAGCGAACAUCCUAUGUACUCCCCUGCUCUCACCUCAUUCCUCUGACAUGUUUCUACUAUUUGAGUUAUGAUCCCCUUUGUAAGGUAGCCUCGAAUAGGAGAUUAUGGGGUUUUUCCUUUCUUUCUUUCUUUCUUUCUUUCUUUUUUUUCUUUUCCUCUCUUUCCAGUGGGGCUAAAGCCAGCAGGGAAUCUUCAUUAAAAUUCACCAUAAGGCCCAUUUGUUGGCAAUUUCCCUCCUCCCAGCUCCUACAUCCCUCCUAUCCUGCUGUGAACUCUUUGCAGAGCAGAGGAAUGACCCAUGGAAAUCUCACUGCCGCAUUGGGGUGCUCAAUCCAGGGAAACAUUCAAAGCUGCUCCUGUCUGUCAGCUAAAGAUGACAAAUAUUUAUCAUCUCUGGACACCCCUCCAGACAACUCCAAUUUUUUACUUGCUAAAUUAGAGGAGUAUAAUUCCAAAUUCACCUACAGUGAGUAAUUUGAUCACAGUAAAUUUAACAUGGCCUCAUUAGUAUCUACCCUUAUUUCUAGGAAACUGAAGUUUUCUAAAAGUACACAUUAAACUAUAGCAGAGCAAACAUCCUUAAGUUAAAUGACCAGUAAAUCCAUUUAUUGACUCCUUAUCACCUAUUCAAAGAAUCCUGGGUACAACAAGAUGUCAUCAUUCUGUUCCCUUAGGAUUAGCUUAAAUGUGGUUUUUCUCCUUCUCAUGUCUCACUCCCAUCAGUUUUAUAUUUCCUUACCUAGAAAUUUCAGGUUAACACUUAAAAAUAUCCCCAAAUGAUUUUAUUUCUAUUCUUCAUUUGGAGAUAUUUUUUCAAGAAGUCCCUAUCUUUAUAUUUUGAUGAUGAAGUGUAAAGUGAGGACAAUAAGAGAAAUCAGAAAGGAAUACAAGAGCAGUCAAAUUACUAUUGUAGGUGACACAUCUGAAUGAUUCAAACUUCACAUAGUAUUUAAACUGACUGAUGAGAGUAGCAUUUUGAAAUUAAGGAGAACUUUUAAUCAGUAAUGACCAUAUGUUAAAACUUUACAUAGAAACAUACUCUUCAGCUGGCCAGCAGGAUGAUGCUUGCAUCUUUUCUCUCUCCCUCAUCAAUCCUCCCAUGAGACUCUGUUUUGUUUAAUUUAUGUAGCUGGCUUGCACGUCUAAGCUCACUGAGAAAAGGCUGUUUCUAAGGAUAGUAAAUCAAAAUAACAUCAGAGUCACUUCAAACCAUGUUUUUGAAAUUCAAGUUCAGAACAAGUAGUUCAGACUACAAAUAGUUUUAGCUUCACACCUGCUUUCCCUCUCAGCUUUGUGUUCUGUGACAUUGUGCAAAGCAACUACAAGGGCAGUUCUAUUUCCAUAGGUUACAUUGACCUUGCAGAAGUGAGUAAUCGAAAGAAAGUAAAAUAAAUAAAUAAAAAACAAGAACGAAUAGAAAGGA